rnacentral:rRNA from 2 species
ACUUUCAACAACGGAUCUCUUGGCUCUAGCAUCGAUGAAGAACGCAGCGAAAUGCGAUAAGUAAUGUGAAUUGCAGAAUUCAGUGAAUCAUCGAAUCUUUGAACGCACAUUGCGCCUGGCAGUAUUCUGCCAGGCAUGCCUGUCCG